GCCUGAGUGGCUCAGUUGGUUAAGCGUCUGACUUCAGCUCAGGUCAUGAUCUCACCGGUUUGUGGGUUUGAGCCCCGCAUCGGGCU
rnacentral:tRNA from 1 species